AAGCUACUGCGAGCAGCUGCAACAAAACACUCGGUAGGCCUCAGGAGACACCACACUCUACUGUUGCAUCAAUAUUUGCAAACAUGCAGACAUCAUUAACUGUUUCAAAUCGAUUCUGAAGGACAACGACAAUCGUAAUUUGUUUUAUUUUUAACAGGCGUCUGCUGGAUAUGAAAAGAAGCUCACGCAUAAUACCUGCGAACUAGCCCGUUAGCCAAAGUUAGCGGACUGGAUUGUGUUAAGUGAUGAUUAGGUCAGAGACUGUCAUGGGCGGAGGCAAAU